rnacentral:misc_RNA from 1 species
CCUUUCUCUCUCGCACAGAUCUUGGACACACUUACGGUCUACGGUCUACAUGAAACCAUAGCAAUUCCUCCUCCAUGUAUAUAUACUCAAAGAAUAUUAUACAUCAAAGUGACAUCAAAGAAAAACAAAAUUAUUAAAAUAUAAAAUAAAUUUUCUCAAAAAUCCUACUAUUCACAAGUUAUGGUUGGAUAUUUUGGGACUAAAUUCAUCAUCUAUCCCAACUACAGCUCGUAUUUGUUCUAUUCAUUUUGAAAAAGAAUCUUUUAAUAGAACAUGUUUAAUAACUCUACUUAGGCCAAAUGCAUUGCCCAGUAGAACACUUACAAUGCAGAUCAUCUUCGGAAUCUACUGUUGAACAAUUUAUUAAUGAAAAUGUUGAAACGGUAUCACAAGAAAUAAAUUAUUCGCCAAUAGUUCCGACAAAAUCAACAGAUGUAAUCAAUGGAUCCUUAUCACCUAUAACAAAAUUUGUUUACCACAAUCGGUAUCUAAAGUGGAUAAAAUAACAAUGGUAUCAUCUACACGCAUCUAUAAUUCUCCAGAAAAAUCUAGAUUACGGAAAAGAAUUAAAUUCUUGGAAGUACAACAUACAAAAAAAAUGCUAUUUGCGCAACAAAAAAUACGACGGUAUAAGAAUCAAGUGAUCACACUCAAAGAAAUUUUAAACAAAUUAAAGAAUAAUAAUUAUUGAAUGAAACACAAGUUGACAUUAUACAUAUAUAUGUUAGGUAAACCAAUAAGUGAGAUUUUUAAGCAAUUAAUUAGGCGAAAGAAAAAUGCAUGCGUACCCAAACAAUAUCCGAAAAUAUGUUCAUUUGCACUAACGCUGUAUUAUUACUCUGCAUUUAUUGAAGAAGCAGUUAUAAUUUUCUUCUUGUGACACAUGCUUGAACAAUUAUAUUUAUUUUCAAUUUAUCUUAUGUAUAUUUAUGAUUAAAUGAAAUAGUACAGCGCAUAAAAUGCAAAGUGUUGUGUUGUGUAUAAUACUAAAGUUUAAUUAGACCUAAGUAAUUCGUCAUUUCAAUGUUACUGAUAUAGCUUGUUUAGAAUAUUGUAUUUUGCAAGGUGUAAAAUCAGCAAAAUGUAAAAUAAUAUCAGGAAAGUGAUGAAAGGAAUGCAGUUACAAAACAUGAAAUAUGUGUCACCAGGCAUAAACUGCUAUUGCUGAAUUUGAACUGUAUGACAGAACAUGGUGGUGUGUUAUCUACUGCACUAAGCGAAAAAUGUUACUAAGGGUGACAUGAUUUAUGGCUCUGUGUUAUUCAGAAGAGUAGUCAAAUGUCAUCAGGAAUCUUCUGACAAAUUCUGAUUCUUAAAGAGUUUAGUUAAGAAAUACAGAAUUUAUUUCAACAAGACUUCAAUCUUAUUGUAUUUAUAUGUGGAUUGUGUACAAUAUAAGAGAAUCGUGAACAAAUGAACAAUUGAAUGAUCAAUAAAAUAUCUAUUAUACUUGGCAGCAUGAUUUAAUUAAAUCUAAUUAAUUAAUCGAAUAUAUUAGGAUAAAUCAGAAAGGCAAAUGAGCCGCUACUAAAUGAUAUUGUAGAUAAUGUAUUAUCGUAAUAUUAUUUACAUAAAUAUAAACGUUUCAACUUGUC